UUUGAUUGAGUUGAGAAAUAUUUGGUUAUCCUGUUUAAUCUGUCGAAAACCUAUGCCUUGUUCUUUUGUUUGUGGUUUUAACAGAGAAAAAUCUUUUUAGCAAUUUCUCUGAGUUUUUCAAAACAUGUCCUGUUAAUUAAUUUUUUCUUGUUUAUAUAUGCUCAUUGUUGGUUAUAAGAUAACUUGCCAAGCUAUCCUUUCUCCAGAUUUUGUGGGAUGACUAAUCUUAUGGAUUUAAGGUUGUUGGUUUGGAUAUUGGAAUGUGAUCUUUGAACGUUCUUCAUGGUUUGUUGUGUAAAGAGUUAAUCUGUUUGUUCCAUCCUUUAUUUUCUAGUUUUUAAAGUGCUUAUUUGGAUAAGCUGUUUUUUUUUUAAAUUGUGAAUUGGUUUUGCAGGUUUGCAAAAGGUGAGUGGACAUUGAGUGAAGGGAGGGCGGCGCCAACUUUGGAGGCUAAAAUUGGGGCGUGAAUUUCAACCAUUGGCUUUGAAGAAGUCCUUGAAGAUUUGCUACUUUAGACGGGUGUUUUUACAGCGUAUUCCAAGUUUCAACUUAUUUUAAAUGUACUCCAAACUCUGUAAUAAUAUUGGUAUUUAAUAUUAGAAAUUUGAAAUUAAACAGCUUAUUCCAAUUUUCAACUUAUUUUAAAUGUACUCCAAACUCUGUAAUAAUAUUGGGAUUUAAUAUUAGAAAUUUGAAAUUGAUUAGAAUACUUCAGCUUUUGAAAAGUUGGGUUA
rnacentral:lncRNA from 1 species